rnacentral:lncRNA from 1 species
AUGCCCUCCGCCCCCGCCCGGCUCCGCGCCGCUGCCUUGCUCCGGGAGGGGCCGGGGCCCCCCCGCAGGGAAUCGCUGGGGUCUGUUCGCUGCUACCCCGGGCCGCACUCGCCCCCCUGCUCCCCGGUGAGACGCGCGUCGGUGGGGACCACGGGCCGCAGACAGCCGGUCCGACGCAGUGGCCUCUCGCACUGGACGCGGGUGCCAGGCCCGGCUGGCGCGGGAGUCGGCAGCUCCAUCUCGCCGGCCUUUGGUGUCCCGUUGCCGAGGCCCACUUUGCCCAGGCUGGUCAGGGCACUGUCCUUGAUCCGCGCGUCCCAGCGACCCCUGGCCGGGCACCCGGGCCGCCAAAGGACGCCGAUCUUGGCAGCCAACUUAAUCUCUUUAGAGCCGCUACCCUGGGGCCACCACUCCCUCCCAGCGCCCCUCACUGCAAACCCUAGGAGGCCCGGGUCUUGCCCAUGUCUCCCGCCCCUGCCCGGGGACCCCUUUUCCAGCCUUAGUUGUCCUCUAAACUCUCGGUCGCCUGAACCCAGGCCUGACCUUCCUUGUCGGCCCAGUGUCCCCCAUUCUCGAUCCCGGGGCCCCAACCUCCCAUCGGCUCAGUCCUCCGCCCAAUCUCUGCCAGGCCCGGAGCUUUUCCAGACCCCUCACCCACACUCUGGGCCCACUCCCCGUUCCUGGGCCUGGGCCCCCCUUGGACGAGUUCAGGACCAGCCGUCCUCGCCUUCUGCCAGCCCCCAUCCUUCGUUCCGGGAGCCGGCCCUCUCCGCGGAUCAAGCCGCCCCGAGCAGGCGCCGCCGCCCGGGGGACGCCGACUCAGCCCCCGCGACUUACCUCGGCCGACAGUCGGGGGUCCCCGAGUGUCCACUCCGGGCCGGCGCCGUCCCCUGGCGGAGCCGCCGCGCUCCCCGCCGUCCGUGCAGUCUGGCCUCGCUCGGGGCCACUUCUCGUAGCGCUGGAGCUUUACAAAAUAUUAAUAAUAAAGAAGGCAGGGGAGAAAAAAGAAAGCCUUCGCUCCCAAACUCCCAAAUCAAUUUUUCAAGGGGGUGGAGCAGAGGGAUUUGUUUCGAAGGCGAUCAAAACUUCUGCGAGGGGCCCACGGGGCGGCCGGCCGGGCCAGGGCGCCGGGGCCUGCGCUCGGGGCCGGGCGCUGCGCGGGGCGCGGGCCGGGGGCGCGGAGCCCCAGGGCGCGCGGGGGGGGCGGGACGGCACUAUUUGACGUGGAGCCGGCGGCGCAUCCCGGCGCAGGGAUACGGGCCGCGGGGUUCAAAAUGUCAGGGAAGUUUCUGGAGGUGA